GGCGGCGUGCUUAACACAUGCAAGUCGAGCGGAAAGGCCCUUCGGGGUACUCGAGCGGCGAACGGGUGAGUAACACGUGAGCAACCUGCCCUAGGCUUUGGGAUAACCCCGGGAAACCGGGGCUAAUACCGAAUAGGACCUGGCCUCGCAUGAGGUUGGGUGGAAAGUUUUUCGGCCUGGGAUGGGCUCGCGGCCUAUCAGCUUGUUGGUGGGGUGAUGGCCUACCAAGCCGACGACGGGUAGCCGGCCUGAGAGGGCGACCGGCCACACUGGGACUGAGACACGGCCCAGACUCCUACGGGAGGCAGCAGUGGGGAAUAUUGCACAAUGGGCGGAAGCCUGAUGCAGCGACGCCGCGUGAGGGAUGACGGCCUUCGGGUUGUAAACCUCUUUCAGCAGGGACGAAGCGUAAGUGACGGUACCUGCAGAAGAAGCGCCGGCCAACUACGUGCCAGCAGCCGCGGUAAGACGUAGGGCGCGAGCGUUGUCCGGAUUUAUUGGGCGUAAAGAGCUCGUAGGCGGCUUGUCGCGUCGACUGUGAAAACCCGCAGCUCAACUGCGGGCCUGCAGUCGAUACGGGCAGGCUAGAGUUCGGUAGGGGAGACUGGAAUUCCUGGUGUAGCGGUGAAAUGCGCAGAUAUCAGGAGGAACACCGGUGGCGAAGGCGGGUCUCUGGGCCGAUACUGACGCUGAGGAGCGAAAGCGUGGGGAGCGAACAGGAUUAGAUACCCUGGUAGUCCACGCUGUAAACGUUGGGCGCUAGGUGUGGGGGGCCUCUCCGGUUCCCUGUGCCGCAGCUAACGCAUUAAGCGCCCCGCCUGGGGAGUACGGCCGC
rnacentral:rRNA from 1 species